rnacentral:lncRNA from 1 species
UUUCCCCAAAGGGCAUUUGAGUUGGUGACCCUGGGCAUGAUUGUGAUAUACCUGGAACCUGGCUCUCUGAAGAAAAAAAAGUCCUGAUUUGUAGAGUUUGCCAAAUUCCAUGUGUCACUGAUUCGUGUUUAUGGAGCACCUACCAUGUACAAAACUCUUCCAGAAUCUACGGGAAGCCAAAUGACUCUGCUGGCCCGCACCACACUUACAGACUGCUAAGAGAACUAAGAGGAGGAUGGAGGGACAGAAUCUUCUGGAAGGGACUCUGGGAAAGCUUCAUAAAAGAGCGUUCACUGGAGAUGAGCCUUGAAGAGAUUAGAGGCAAAACCUGAGGCUUUGGGAGAUGGAGUCCCAGGCAUGCGGCCCUGACCUGACUCAUCUGGAAAAGAACCAGGAGGGUAACUGGACUCCAGUCCCCAGUGGUCUGCCUCUCUGGAGGUGAACAUCAGUGAUCUCUAAGUUCCUUGCAGCAUUCAAGUUCCAUAAAUCUACAAACUUAUCAAAGGACUGAAGGCUACCUGGUACGGAGGAGGCUUUUGAUGAGAAUUUGUGAUGAUCAGGAAACUGUGGAAGGAGUCAGCAUUUUUUCCCUCUAAACUUAGCUACCAAUAAAACUUUUCUUAAUGCAAAUGACUUAUGGUUU